rnacentral:rRNA from 1 species
CCUACGGGCGGCAGCAGUGGGGAAUAUUGGACAAUGGGGGGAACCCUGAUCCAGCCAUGCCGCGUGUGUGAAGAAGGCCCUCGGGUUGUAAAGCACUUUCAGUGAGGAAGAACGCCUGGUGGUUAAUACCCAUCAGGAAAGACAUCACUCACAGAAGAAGCACCGGCUAACUCCGUGCCAGCAGCCGCGGUAAUACGGAGGGUGCGAGCGUUAAUCGGAAUUACUGGGCGUAAAGCGCGCGUAGGUGGCUUGAUAAGCCGGUUGUGAAAGCCCCGGGCUCAACCUGGGAACGGCAUCCGGAACUGUCAAGCUAGAGUGCAGGAGAGGAAGGUAGAAUUCACGGUGUAGCGGUGAAAUGCGUAGAGAUCGGGAGGAAUACCAGUGGCGAAGGCGGCCUUCUGGACUGACACUGACACUGAGGUGCGAAAGCGUGGGUAGCAAACAGGAUUAGAUACCCUUGUAGUC